rnacentral:rRNA from 1 species
GGGGGGGGGGGGGGGGGGGGGGGGGGGGGGCGGGGGGGGGGGGGGGGGGCGGGCUGGCGGGGGGGCGCGGGGGGCGGACGGGGGCGGGACACGUGGGGGAGCCGCCCUGCACUGCGGGGUGGGCCUGGGAACCUGGGUCUGAUACCGGGUAGGCCCGCAUUUAGGCGGCUGUCGUGGAGAGUUUUUGGCGGUGGCAGGAGUUCGCGGUCUAUCAGCUUGUUGGGGGGGUACUGCCCUACCCAGGCGUCCACGGGUAGCCCGACUGAGAGGGUGUACGGCCACAUUGGGACUGAGAUACGGCCCAGACUCCUACGGGAGGCAGAAGUGGGGAAUAGUGCACAAUGGGCGCGAGCCUGAUGCAGCGACGCCGCGUGGGGGAUGGCGGCCUUCGGGUUGUAAACUCCUUUCGCUAGGGACGAAGCGUUAUGUGACGGUACCUGGAGAAGAAGCACCGGCUAACUACGUG